GACGAACGCUGGCGGCGUGCUUAACACAUGCAAGUCGAACGAAGAGCGAUGGAAGCUUGCUUCUAUCAAUCUUAGUGGCGAACGGGUGAGUAACGCGUAAUCAACCUGCCCUUCAGAGGGGGACAACAGUUGGAAACGACUGCUAAUACCGCAUACGAUCUAAUCUCGGCAUCGAGGAUAGAUGAAAGGUGGCCUCUACAUGUAAGCUAUCACUGAAGGAGGGGAUUGCGUCUGAUGAGCUAGUUGGAGGGGUAACGGCCCACCAAGGCGAUGAUCAGUAGCCGGUCUGAGAGGAUGAACGGCCACAUUGGGACUGAGACACGGCCCAGACUGCUACGGGAGGCAGCAGUGGGGAAUCUUCCGCCAUGGACGAAAGUCUGACGGAGCAACGCCGCGUGAGUGAUGACGGCCUUCGGGUUGUAAAGCUCUGUUAAUCGGGACGAAAGGCCUUCUUGCGAAUAGGGAGAAGGAUUGACGGUACCGGAAGAGAAAGCCACGGCUAACUACGUG
rnacentral:rRNA from 1 species